AUUGAACGCUGGCGGCAGGCCUAACACAUGCAAGUCGAACGAGUGGCGGACGGGUGAGUAAUGUCUGGGAAACUGCCCGAUGGAGGGGGAUAACUACUGGAAACGGUAGCUAAUACCGCAUACCAUCGGAUGUGCCCAGAUGGGAUUAGCUUGUAGGUGAGGUAACGGCUCACCUAGGCGACGAUCCCUAGCUGGUCUGACGGGAUGACCGGGCACACUGUAACGUAGAGACGGUGCAGACUCCUACGAGAGGCAGCGGUGGGGAAUAUUGCACAAUGGGCGAAAGUCUGAUAGAGCGAUGCCGCGUGGAUGAAGAAGGCCUUCGGGUUGUAAAGUACUUUCAGCGGGGAGGCGUUACCCGCAGAAGAAGCACCGGCUAACUCCGUGCCAGCAGCCGCGGUAAUAC
rnacentral:rRNA from 1 species